rnacentral:rRNA from 1 species
CGGGACGGGUGAGUAAUGUCUGGGAAACUGCCCGAUGGAGGGGGAUAACUACUGGAAACGGUAGCUAAUACCGCAUAACGUCGCAAGACCAAAGAGGGGGACCUUCGGGCCUCUUGCCAUCGGAUGUGCCCAGAUGGGAUUAGCUAGUAGGUGGGGUAAUGGCUCACCUAGGCGACGAUCCCUAGCUGGUCUGAGAGGAUGAUCAGCCACACUGGGACUGAGACACGGCCCAG